CACAGAAGGAGAGUGUCGCCCAAUAAAUUUUGCCCUAUCCCUGUGCUGGAGCAGUAGCGUGGACAUUUCUUGUUUAGGUAAAAGGCCAAAGUUUGCUGAACACUGAGGGAGUGGAGUCUUCGUUCUUCUGCGGAAAUAUGCAGUUUUGGGAAGAACACAGGCAAGUGAAUCGAUUGGUUAAAGUGAAAUUCUGAAACUACUUUAGGAGUGAAUUUGGGGUGUAGAUUAGAAGAAACCUUAUCCUUACAGUGUAAGAAGGCUCUGCCAUCAUUGCUCCAAGCUUGCCAACUCUUCUAGCUGAGGAAACAGCUGCAAGGGAAGCAAUCUUCAUGGAAAGGAGAGACAUGGAGCAAGAAGCUAAAGGUUCACAGGGGGGCCUUGUGAGUAUGGAGAGAACAAGUUUUAAGCCCCACUGAAUAGGUGGAAAGAUUCUGAUUAAGCCAUUCCAGAAUCUAUUUGUCAGUGGAUGUGCAAAGACCGAGUAGCCCUGAGAAGGUGGAUGGUAUACACUGAUUGCUGCCAAGUGCACUCACAAGGAGCUGAUGGACAAGCCUGAUGUCUUCAGAGAGAGGAUAUAGUCCAAGGCCCAGGGUAGUACAUGUGGACAGGACGAGCAUCACAUGAUCCCUCACCUGUGACCAGGAGGUGCUUUUGACUAGCCGGUCGUCCAGAUAUGGGAAUAUUUGGACCCCCUGGUGUCUGAGAUAGGCCGCUACCACCCCCAUACACUUUGUAAAGACCCUGGGGACAGUGGACGGACCAAACGCAAACAGAGCCUUCACGUCGAAAGGGAGAUCCUGCAUUGACGACUGUGCUUCACUGGAGAGCCCAGAGAGUAGAAACCAUGACGCCCAUCUUAUGGACACCGCUGAGGCCAUGGACCGUGCAGCUGUGUCUGCUCUAUCCAAAGCAGCCUGCAGGGAUGCUCUUGCAACUGCCUCCCCUUCCUCCAUGAGCGCCUUAAAGUCCUUCUUAUCGCGCUCCUGGAGGGAGUCCUCAAACUUGGAGAGGGAUUCCCGGAGGUUAAACUCGUAGCGAACCAGAAGAGCCUGAUGGUUUGCUACUCGUAGCUGAAAGCUUGACGACGAAUAAAUUUUUCUCCCGAAAGCAUCCAGCCUCUGAGAGUCUUUGUUCUUGGGGGUCGUGGCUGGUUGCCCCUGCUGCUCCCUGUGGUUGACUGACUCGACCACCAAGGAGUUGGGCACCAGGUGGGUAUACAGA